UUGGUGUAUGAUUGGGGAUGGUUGGUAGAGGCUAUUCGGCGACUCGGCCUGUGAUGUGCGGAGGCCGCUGGAGGUGGAUGGUGAUGAGCACCGAUUUCAUUUCUAGGGUUUUGGGGGGGCGGAUGGGAGGAGCUGGAUUUCAUUUCUAGGGUUUGGGUCACGGCUUCACAUCGUCAGUUUCUUUAAUAUUUUUUGGUUGGAGUAGCUUUCAGCUAUCAACAGUGGGAUUUAUCUGUUAUCACUUCAAUUUUGCUCUGGACAGCAGAUUCGUGGGGGAAAGCGGUUUCAGCAGCUGGUCCCUUUCUGAUGGAACGAAAUGCAAGUUUCUCUUCUGAUUUGGGUGUAAACAACUCCUCUCCAAGAUAUCAGAGGAAGCGAAAUUCAGACACAUUCAUCAACACCAAACUGAAACUAUGGUCUACCAACUAUCUACAAGAGAUUGAUUGAAGAGAAGCCAGAGGGGGAUAACUAUGAACGAGGAAAGGGCCUCAUGGAGAGAAGAAAAUGAAACACUCGUAUCAAAUCCACUGAAUUACCAUGCAUUGAUGGAUGAGGACCAUGCAUUAUCGAUGGGAGGACGGUGAUCAGGGAACGCAUGGCAUGUGCAGACGGGCUUGACUGCAUGUUACAUGUAUCCUCCCCAGAAGUUUGACAUGAGGAGCCAGCAGUUCUUCCACUGAUAACUGAUGAACGAAGAUUCCCAGUCAUCUGCAUCAGCAGCAGAUGAACCGAACUGUGAGCUGCACAGAUGGAGCCAUGGAGAGCACUGCAUCUGGGUCAAUCAACAAUUAUGAACGUUUCUCCCUUCCAUUCGCUCUGCCCUCAUCUGAAGAGGACCACAGCACCUAACGACCGAGAUGAUGAACUGUGGACUGGAGAGCACCACACACCCCUCCCGGAUUUCCUGGCGAGGUGAUGAGCAGAUGAAGCUUGGCGAUGCAGCGGCGGCAGGCACUGCUCUGCGCGUGAACUGCAGCCGUGCAGGAGGAGCCAGAUCCCGGCACAGUGCUGGGCAGGCAGUGCCCCCCCCACACCAUAUGCCCGGCUCCUGGGCGAUGAUGCAGCAACUACCGGGGUCGCCAUCGCCCAACCGAACGUCUCGCCGGUGCCCUCCCGCCCCCGGCCGAGAUAUGCAGCCACCAACCUACGGUGUGCGCCCGAAAGUGACCACAUCUUGCCAUGAUGGGUCUGGAUGGCCCUCCCCUUCCAUAAUUUUCACAUUUGCACACCCAGAAAUGAGUGGUAGUUCGUUUUCGUUUGACAUGUUAAGAAGAUGCUUAGCUUAAGCUUUUUGGGUGAACCGGUCGAUGAUAUAGAUUAACGUCGAAAUGGAACAUCAAUAAAAUAUGGAUGUAAAUUGAGUCAUGGUUUUAUAAAUGAGUGAUAGUUCGUUUUCAUUUGACAUGUUAAGAAUAUGCGAGCUUAAACUUUUGGGUGAACUGGUCGAUAAAAUAUAUUAACGUCAAAAUGGAACAUCAAUAAAAUAUGGGUGUAAAUUGAGUCA